AUAACAGCAUUUAGGAAGACUAAUUAGGCUAUAAAUUACCCAGAGAUCUGGACGGUCUCAACGAUUCCGCAUUGAUCAGAGCUCAUAUGUUAUCGACAAUCUGACGGCCGCAAAGGAUACAUGAUCAGAGCUGUCCGGUUGUAGUCAUUGGCCUCAUGUCGCUCAUG